rnacentral:rRNA from 1 species
AAUUUUGUACAAUGGGGGAAACCCUGAUCCAGCCAUCCCGCGUGUAUGAUGAAGGCCUUCGGGUUGUAAAGUACUUUUGGCAGGGAAGAAAAGGCUCUGGCUACUACCUGGAGCUGCUGACGGUACCUGCAGCAUACGCACCGGCUAACUACGUGCCAGCAGCCGCGGUCAUACGUAGGGUGCAAGCGGUAAUCGGAAUUACUGGGCGUAAAGCGUGAGCAGGCGGGUCGGCAAGAAGGAUGUGAAAUCCCAGGGCUUAACCGUGGAACUGCAUUCUUAACUGCCGGGCUAGAGUAUGUCAGAGGGGGGUAGAAUUCCGCGUGUAGCAGUGAAAUGCGUAGAGAUGCGGAGGAAUACCGAUGGCGAAGGCAGCCCCCUGGGAUAAUACUGACGCUCAUGCACGAAAGCGUGGGGAGCAAACA